GACGAACGCUGGCGGCGUGCUUAACACAUGCAAGUCGAGCGGUAAGGUCCCUUCGGGGGUACACGAGCGGCGAACGGGUGAGUAACGCGUGAGUAACCUGCCCCUCACACUGGGAUAACAGUUGGAAACGACUGCUAAUACCGGAUACUCAGGUGACUAGGCAUCUAGUCCCCUGGAAAGGUCCGCCGGUGAGGGAUGGACUCGCGUCCUAUCAGCUAGUUGGUGAGGUAACGGCUCACCAAGGCGACGACGGGUAGCCGGCCUGAGAGGGCGACCGGCCACAUUGGGACUGAGAUACGGCCCAGACUCCUACGGGAGGCAGCAGUGGGGAAUAUUGCACAAUGGGCGAAAGCCUGAUGCAGCAACGCCGCGUGCGGGAUGACGGCCUUCGGGUUGUAAACCGCUUUCAGCAGGGACGAAGUGAAAAUGACGGUACCUGCAGAAGAAGCACCGGCUAACUACGUGCCAGCAGCCGCGGUGAUACGUAGGGUGCGAGCGUUGUCCGGAAUUAUUGGGCGUAAAGAGCUCGUAGGCGGCCUGUCACGUCGUAAGUGCAAACCCAGGGCUCAACCCUGGGCCUGCUUGCGAUACGGGCUGGCUAGAGGAAGGUAGGGGAGAAUGGAAUUCCCGGUGGAGCGGUGGAAUGCGCAGAUAUCGGGAGGAACACCAGUGGCGAAGGCGGUUCUCUGGACCUUUCCUGACGCUGAGGAGCGAAAGCGUGGGUAGCAAACAGGCUUAGAUACCCUGGUAGUCCACGCCGUAAACGGUGGGUACUAGGUGUGGGGGACAUUCCACGUUCUCUGUGCCGUAGCUAACGCAUUAAGUACCCCGCCUGGGGAGUACGGCCGCAAGGCUAAAACUCAAAGGAAUUGACGGGGCCCCGCACAAGCGGCGGAGCAUGCGGAUUAAUUCGAUGCAACGCGAAGAACCUUACCUGGGUUUGAAAUAUACCGGAAACACCUAGAGAUAGGUGCCCCGCAAGGUCGGUAUACAGGUGGUGCAUGGCUGUCGUCAGCUCGUGUCGUGAGAUGUUGGGUUAAGUCCCGCAACGAGCGCAACCCUCGUCCAAUGUUGCCAGCGGAUAAUGCCGGGGACUCAUUGGAGACCGCCGGGGUCAACUCGGAGGAAGGUGAGGACGACGUCAAGUCAUCAUGCCCCUUAUGUCCAGGGCUUCACGCAUGCUACAAUGGCCGGUACAAAGAGCUGCAAUCCUGUAAAGGUGAGCGAAUCUCAAAAAGCCGGUCUCAGUUCGGAUUGGGGUCUGCAACUCGACCCCAUGAAGUCGGAGUCGCUAGUAAUCGCAGAUCAGCAACGCUGCGGUGAAUACGUUCCCGGGGCU
rnacentral:rRNA from 1 species